UCCCUUGACGUUAGCGGCGGACGGGUGAGUAACACGUGGGUAACCUACCUAUAAGACUGGGAUAACUUCGGGAAACCGGAGCUAAUACCGGAUAAUAUUUCGAACCGCAUGGUUCGAUAGUGAAAGGUGGUUUUGCUAUCACUUAUAGAUGGACCCGCGCCGUAUUAGCUAGUUGGUAAGGUAACGGCUUACCAAGGCGACGAUACGUAGCCGACCUGAGAGGGUGAUCGGCCACACUGGAACUGAGACACGGUCCAGACUCCUACGGGAGGCAGCAGCC
rnacentral:rRNA from 1 species